rnacentral:rRNA from 1 species
UAGUAAUCAUAGGUCAGCAUACUAUGGUGAAUACGUUCCCGGGCCUUGUACACACCGCCCGUCACACCAUGGAAGUCCGCAAUGCCCGAAGCCGGUGGCCUAACCACUUAUGUGGAAGGAGCCGUCUAAGGCAGGGCAGAUGACUGGGGUGAAGUCGUAACAAGGUAGC